GAAACUUGCAACCAUGACGGACUUGUGUGAUUUAUCGCUUUUGAGGGAGGUCAUUUGGCCCACUCAGACUGGUCCAGUGCUUGAAGAGAUUCAAAGCCCAUCUCCAUAGCUUGGCAAAUAUAGAAAGUAAUCUUCAAAGAUAUGCUUGACAAAUAUGGAAGGGGAUCUUAAAAGUUAUGUGAUCCUAGACUUUAAUGUAAUCUUUAGGAGAUACGAUUUUGUAAUCUUAGAGAUUUGAUAUCUUGAUAGCUUUAGAUCUUAGCCAUUGAUGUAUUUCGAUCUGUACCGUUGAUAUUGGGAAGGCUCAACUAUAAAUAGAGGCCUCUCCCCCUUAUUGUAUUCAUUCAAUGAUUAAUAGAAUUUUGAGAGCAUUCACUCAAACUUUUCUCUCAAGUGUUCUUAUUUUUCUGUGGCUUUUGUUCAUCUUUUGAGAUCGUUCUUAAUUAAUUCUUCUGCUGUUCUUCGUAGGUUCUUUAGAGGAGUUCUAUUGAAUCCUCAAUUGUUGCGAGAUAGGCUGGCUUAGGCGUUUUUGAGUGGAGAAACGCUUAAGGCCGCAUGGAUUGCUUGGGAAAACUCUAAGUCUGUGACACUAGUAACUGGUUCCCUCUGAAGUUUCCCUCAGUAUAGCUGGAGCCCUUAGCGAGUUCUAUCGGGUAAAGCCAUUGAUUAGAGGCAUCUAGAGCUCAGCGCCCUCGACCUCUUCUCAAACUUUAAAUAGGUAGGACGGCGUGGCUGCUUCAUUGAGCAGCGCCACGGAAUCGAGAGCUCCAAGUGGGCCAUUUUUGGUAAGCAGAACUGACGAUACGGGAUGAACCGAAAGUCAAGUUACGGUGCCCAACUGCGCGCUAACCUAGAACUCACAAAGGGUGUUGGUCGAUUAAGAUGGCAGGAUGGUGGUCAUAGAAGUCGAAAUCCGCUAAGGAGUGUGUAACAACUCACCGGCCGAAUCAACUAGCCCCAAAAAUGGAUGGCGCUUAAGCGCAUGACCUAUACCCGACUGUUGGGGCAAGGGCUAGGCCCCAAUGAGUAGGAGGGCGCGGCGGUCAUCGUAAAACCCAGGGCGCGAGCUCGGGCGGAGCGGCCGUCGGUGCAAAUCUUGGUGGUAGUAGCAAAUAUUCAAAUGAGAACUUUGAUGGCCGAAAAGGGGAAAGGUUCCAUGUGAACGACACUUGUACAUGGGUUAGUCGAUCCUAAGAGAUGGGGAAGCCCGUCCGAUAACGUGUCCAGCGCGAGCUUCGAAAGGGAUUCGGGUUAAAAUUCCUUAACCAGGAUGCGGCAGCUGAUGACAACGUUAGGGAGUCCAGAGACGUUGAUGGGGCCCUCGGGAAGAGUUAUCUUUUCUAUUUAACGGCCUGCUCACCCUGGAAACGGCUCAGCCCAUGGUAGGGUCCAGUGGCCGGAAGAGCACUGCAAGUCGUGUGGUGUCCGGUACGCCCCCGGCGGCCCUUGAAAAUCUAAAGGACUGAGUUUCAUCCGCGCCCGGUCAUACUCAUAACCGCAUUAGGUCUCCAUAGUGAACAACCUCUGGUCAAUGGAACAAUGUAGGCAAGGGAAGUCGGCAAAAUGGAUUCGUAACCUCGGGAAAAGGAUUGGCUCUAAGGUCUGGGCACGGGGGCCCUAGUCUCUAACCCAUCGGUUACCGGUGCACUGCUCGAGCUACUUUCACGGCGAGAGUGGGUUGCCGCAUGCCGAUCGAGGGACAGACUGGGAACGGCUCCCUUAGGGGCCUUCCCCGGGCGACGAACAGCAAACUCAGAACUGGUACAGAUAAGGGGAAUCCGACUGUUUAAUUAAAACAAAACAUUGUGAUGGUCCCUGCGGAUGCUCACGCAAUGUGAUUUCUGCCCAGUGCUUUUAAUGUCAAAGUGAAGAAAUUCAACCAAGCGCGGGUAAACAGUGGGAGUAACUAUGAGUCUCUUAAGGUAGCCAAAUGCCUCAUCAUCUAAUUAGUGACGCCCAUGAAUGGAUUAACGAGAUUCCCACUGUCCCUGUCUACUAUCCAAUGAAACCACUGCCAAGGGAACGGGCUUGGCAGAAUCAAUGGGGAAAGAAGACCCUGUUGAGCUUGACUCUAGUCCGACUUUGUGAAAUGACUUUUAAUGUUAUUUUACUUAUUUAGUGAAUCAAAGGCGGGGCCAGCCCCUCUUUUUGGACCCAAGGUUGUCUUCGGCUGGCCGAUCCAGGCAGAAGACAUUGUCAGGUGGGGAGUUUGGCUGGGGUGGCACAUCUGUUAAAAGAUAAUGCAGGUGUCCUAAGAUAAACUCAACGAGAAUAGAAAUCUCGUGUGGAACAAAAAGGAAAAAGCUUGUUUGAUUAUGAUUUCCAGUACGAGUACGAACCGUGAAAGCAUGGCCUAUCGAUCCUUUAAACCUUCAAAAUUUGAAGCUAGAGGUGUCAAAAAAUUUACCACAGGGAUAACUGGCUUUUGGCAGCCAAACGUUCAUAAAUCCUUCGAUGUUGGCUCUUCCUAUCAUUGUGAAGCAGAAUUCACCAAGUGUUGGAUUGUUCACCCACCAAUAGGGAACGUGAGUUGGGUUUAGACCCUCGUGAGACAGGUUAGUUUUCCCCUACUGAUGGCCGCGUCGCAAUAUUAAUUCAACCUAGUACGAGAGGAACCGUUAAUUCACACAAUUGGUCAUCGCGCUUGGUUGAAAAGCCAGUGGCGCGAAGCUACCGUGUGCUGGAUUAUGACUGAAUGCCUCUAAGUCAGAAUCAAGGCUAGAAGUGAUGCAAGCGCUCGUCGCCCGAUUGCCGACCCGCAGUAGGGGCCUUUGGCCCCUAAGGGCAUGUGUCGUAGGUGCAGCGACCCCCGCGGACAAGUCGCGGGCGCCUCCUUAGAGCGUAAUUCCCACCAAG
rnacentral:rRNA from 1 species